GCUAAUGACCCAUGCCUUGACUCCUGGGAGACUAGAAACAUUAGGCAAUCAAAGCAUUUGUGCCUGAAAUGCCUCUUUCCCUUGGAGCGAUGCUGGGAGGAGUCGAUGAACUAACACCUGUGAAAUCACUUUGAGAUAUGGCUCAUUGGUGACAAGCCAGCACUCAGCAAAGAGGGGGCUUCCAUGUGAACCAGGGUUUCUGAUGCAGCCUGGCUUCCUCAGCCAUCUCUGCGUCAAUCAGCUGUCACUGCUCCUUCUCCUCAAACCACGUGAAUUUUAAAAGCCGGCACAAGCUCAUCUGGAAUUCACAUACCCAAGCCUCAAACAGACAAGGACGACGUGAAAUUGGAAAUACAGGAAGAUGGCAGGUGGCACUGCUCUCUGUGAAAAAUGAGCAUUGUGGAAACAGCCUCGCCUCUCCCCAAGAUGCCUGACAUUGUGGAUGAUUUGUAAUGCUCUCACCGAAAAGCCCUCAUCCCCAUGAACACAUUUUGAAGAUAGAAAUCAAUCUUACCCUAUGACAGGGAGAGAAAAAUCUGUUAGGAAAAAUGAAGAGGAGAAAAACCACCUAAUUCUGGGAUCCUUUCUACUAAAUAAAUGGGUUCCAGGGAACUAAGGCUGGAUCCAUAUUUUUCCCUCAGUCUUGCCAUGUACGGAGCAGCUGCAAGAGGUGAGAUUGAAGAGAGAGACUGUCUAGCCAGCCCCACCAGCUUCCAGCUUUUCCAUCUCAAUAAUUUAGGCUGGCUGCCAGCCACGGCAUUUCAUACUGGGUCAGCAUUUGCCUCUGUCAGGCAAAGAACUAAAACUCUCACAGAACCAUUCACAACUACGCACUAUGAUGCAUUGGGCAUUACUACGCAAGUAUUGGCUGCCACCAUAACCUUGGGAUAUUUGUGAUUUUUAAAAUAAGGCAGCAACACACGGAGGUUUAAUUUAACCCCCACAGCAAGAUGAAUUCUGCUUCUCAGACCUGCAGCCCCUCAAGAAUAAUGUCACCAUGAGGCACACUGGAGCCCAUAGCUGAAAAUCAUCACAGAACACAUUGCAGUAAGAAUUCAGCCAAUUUUAGAUUGAGGUUAUUAACACCCAUGUGGAAAGAGGCCUACGGGGAUACUGAAGCCAAAUGCAUUUAGCGCCAUGAUGUGUUUUCCAAUUGGGAAAGCCCCGCUCACAGCAGGUGUAAAGGCUUGUUCCACGGGGUGUCCUGUGGGGAGCAAUGCCGCCCCCUCACAGACUGGGUUCAUGAAAACUCUCCAGGGACACACAUCGAAUCUUUGCUGGUUCAGUAAAAAGCAGAAAGAAGGAAGGGAGGAAGGAAGAAAGAGAAAGAAAGGUGGGACAACCAGGAGACAGAGAGAGAAGAAACUGGGGCUUGAUGACAUGAGUGAGCACCUGAAUCAACCCUUUUCUGAAGUUAAUAAAUAACCCGUGAUCUUCUCAGUUAAAAAAAAAAAAAA